rnacentral:rRNA from 1 species
UCGAGCGAACGGAUGAGAAGCUUGCUUCUCUGAUGUUAGCGGCGGACGGGUGAGUAACACGUGGAUAACCUACCUAUAAGACUGGGAUAACUUCGGGAGACCGGAGCUAAUACCGGAUAAUACUUUGAACCGCAUGGUUCAAAAGUGAAAGACGGUCUUGCUGUCACUUAUAGAUGGAUCCGCGCUGCAUUAGCUGGUUGGUAAGGUAACGGCUUACCAAGGCAACGAUGCAUAGCCGACCUGAGAGGGUGAUCGGCCACAAUGGAACUGAGACACGGUCCAGACUCCUACGGGAGGCAGCAGUAGGGAAUCUUCCGCAAUGGGCGAAAGCCUGACGGAGCAACGCCGCGUGAGUGAUGAAGGUCUUCGGAUCGUCAAACUCUGUUAUUAGGGAAGAACAUAUGUGUAAGUAACUGUGCACAUCUUGACGGUACCUAAUCAGAAAGCCACGGCUAACUACGUGCCAGCAGCCGCGGUAAUACGUAGGUGGCAAGCGUUAUCCGGAAUUAUUGGGCGUAAAGCGCGCGUAGGCGGUCUUUUAAGUCUGAUGUGAAAGCCCACGGCUCAACCGUGGAGGGUCAUUGGAAACUGGAAAACUUGAGUGCAGAAGAGGAAAGUGGAAUUCCAUGUGUAGCGGUGAAAUGCGCAGAGAUAUGGAGGAACACCAGUGGCGAAGGCGACUUUCUGGUCUGUAACUGACGCUGAUGUGCGAAAGCG